rnacentral:rRNA from 1 species
ACAAGUAGUCAGAGCCCGUUAAUGGGUGAUGGCGUGCCUUUUGUAGAAUGAACCGGCGAGUUACGAUUUGAUGCAAGGUUAAGCAGUAAAUGUGGAGCCGUAGCGAAAGCGAGUCUGAAUAGGGCGUUUAGUAUUUGGUCGUAGACCCGAAACCAGGUGAUCUACCCUUGGUCAGGUUGAAGUUCAGGUAACACUGAAUGGAGGACCGAACCGACUUACGUUGAAAAGUGAGCGGAUGAACUGAGGGUAGCGGAGAAAUUCCAAUCGAACCUGGAGAUAGCUGGUUCUCUCCGAAAUAGCUUUAGGGCUAGCCUCAAGUGAUGAUUAUUGGAGGU